AUCAACUUUCGAUGGUAGGAUAGAGGCCUACCAUGGUGGUAACGGGUAACGGGGUGUUAGGGCACGACACCGGAGAGGGAGCCUGAGAAACGGCUACCACAUCCAAGGAUGGCAGCAGGCGCGCAAAUUACCCAAUCCCGACACGGGGAGGUAGUGACAAUAAAUAACAAUACGGGGUUCUUUUGGAUCUCGUAAUUGGAAUGAGUACAAUUUAAAUCUCUUAACGAGGAACAAUUGGAGGGCAAGUCUGGUGCCAGCAGCCGCGGUAAUUCCAGCUCCAAUAGCGUAUAUUAAAGUUGUUGCAGUUAAAAAGCUCGUAGUUGAAUUUCGGGGUCAGUAAGUUGGUCGUGCCACUGGUAUGUACUGGCUUCACUGAUUCCUCCUUCUUGAAGAACUGUUAUGCUAUUAAUUUAGUGUUGCAGGGAAACAGGACUGUUACUUUGAAAAAAUUAGAGUGUUUAAAGCAGGCUAACGCUUGAAUACAUUAGCAUGGAAUAAUGAAAUAGGACGUUUGAUCCUAUUUUGUUGGUUUCUAGGAUUGACGUAAUGAUUAAUAGGGAUAGUUGGGGGCAUUAGUAUUCAAUUGUCAGAGGUGAAAUUCUUGGAUUUAUUGAAGACUGACUACUGCGAAAGCAUUUGCCAAGGAUGUUUUCAUUAAUCAAGAACGAAAGUUAGGGGAUCGAAGACGAUCAGAUACCGUCGUAGUCUUAACCAUAAACUAUGCCGACUAGGGAUCGGAUGAUGUUAAUUUUUUAAUGACUCAUUCGGCGCCUUACGGGAAACCAAAGUGUUUGGGUUC
rnacentral:rRNA from 1 species